rnacentral:rRNA from 1 species
GACGAACGCUGGCGGCGUGCUUAACACAUGCAAGUCGAACGGAAAGGCCCUGCUUUUGUGGGGUGCUCGAGUGGCGAACGGGUGAGUAACACGUGAGUAACCUGCCCUUGACUUUGGGAUAACUUCAGGAAACUGGGGCUAAUACCGGAUAGGAGCUCCUGCUGCAUGGUGGGGGUUGGAAAGUUUCGGCGGUUGGGGAUGGACUCGCGGCUUAUCAGCUUGUUGGUGGGGUAGUGGCUUACCAAGGCUUUGACGGGUAGCCGGCCUGAGAGGGUGACCGGCCACAUUGGGACUGAGAUACAGCCCAGACUCCUACGGGAGGCAGCAGUGGGGAAUAUUGCACAAUGGGCGGAAGCCUGAUACAGCAACGCCGCGUGCGGGAUAACGGCCUUCGGGUGGUAAACCGCUUUCGCAUGUGACGAAGCGUGAGUGACGGUAAUGGGUAAAGAAGCACCGGCUAACUACGUG